GGUUGUUAACUGUGCUGGUCGCUUGUGUCAUUUGCUCCUGCUAGGACUAAAAUAUUUGUAUGGUGUUUCAGAAAUGGAAAGAAAUCCUCUCUAAAGCCUUGUCCUCGGUAUUUAAGACCCAGUGAGAGAGACGCUUGUCAUCGCGGGCGCAUCCUCCUUUGGCCUCGGAACUGUGCUGCGACAACCAAGACCUCGGAAAGUACAAAGUCGCCACCUACGCGGCCACAGUACCCCCCGUUAUGCUCAAAUAGAAAAGGAGGGUCUGCCGCUGGUCUUUGAGAGUGAAAAGUUCAGCGACUACCACUACCAGAAAAAAUUCUUCUCGAGACUGACCACAAGGCUCUAGUGAGUCUGUUCUCAACAACACAGCUUGAUGACUUUUAGCCAAUAUUGCAGCGGAUGCGUUUUAUGGGAUACAGGCACCCACGAGAUAAAGUACGAGGGUCGGACUGAGUAAUUUUGUCUUUUUCUUCUUUUUUUGCGAACGUACCUGUAACAGCAGACGAAGGAGACUGCAUUGGUAGGUGGGUAGCGACAGCUGCUCCAUUGCCCUGUUGUGACCACUGGCACUCCUCCUAGCAACAUGGCCGUCAACGAUAUGUCGUUUCAUCGUUUGCCGUUGCUAUCAUCAAAUUUAUCGUAGUCACUGAUGCAGAAAUUCGCCACACACUUGAAUGCUUAUGGCAGUGUGUGCAUGGGUGAUAGCAGUGUCGGGACGUGCGCUAAACGUCAAACAUAUGGGAACACCAGCAUCGAAAAUCAGCUUCCGUGAGUGGUCACCCUCGGACAGCUUCAACUCAAUAGCAAAGAAAGAGUGGAUGCGAUUACUCAAGCAGACAGGAGUGUGACUGUGUACAUUAUAGCCGGAACACUUGGAAUAAGGCCCAACGCAGUGCAAGCGAUGAUGGUACAGGAAAGUUUGUGCUCGGUGAGUCCCGCGCUUAUUGACCGAAGACAACAAAAGUCAGCGAAAAGCCAUCACCUCAGCAAUGCUGCAGCGAUAUCGGCACGAAGGCGCUGACAUUUUGCUUGGCAUUGUGACAGCUUGUGUCAUAAUUCAUCCACAAAUCUCCUUUCUGGAGCUCUAAAGGUAUCCGCACUAUUAUCAAGAUGAGAGGUUGAGCUACCAUCGGGAGAUCAUUUCUGCGCCUAUAGCAGAAGAACGGUGCCACAUCGGAGGAUUGCAGUCUGAGGUUCUCCACUCCUCCAUAUCGCUGGAUUUCUCGCCGAUCAUUUCUUCGCCUUCCAACCUCCGAAUAUGGACGCCUGAGUUCGACUCUCGGUGGAACUUUCUAUGUAAUGCCCUUGCUUCUCCAUACCCUUUGCCCUGCUGCCUGCUCGCUUCCUCGCCUGCUCCUUGCUUCCUCGUACCCUGACUGCUUUAUGGUUAUAAUCGCUCUUCUUAUAAUUUUCCUUCAAACUCAGCCAUCCUCGACAACCUCGACACUCUCCUCGAAACGCUGUUUCUAAUGCUAGCGCAUUAAAACAAGAGGUACCAAGUUUCUUCAUGAAGCAACAAGUAAAAAGUGUUGAUUGGUCGUUGAUGGAUCAGAUUCUCCAUCAAUCCUACAAAGAAGAAACAGUGAAAGUACCGAAAUGGGAUAUUUCUUUGCCCGUUUUAAUCUGCGCUGUCCUCUUUAAGUAGUCCAUGACACCUUAGCCCUAAAAGCGUUGAGUGUGAAUAAAACAAUUCUGCUCCGUCACGCUCCAUUUAAUGCGAAUUCGACUGGUGGUCUAGAGCAAGCACCGAAAUCGGCUAGAGAGCAGGAAAAUCCUAUACAUGCAGAGAGAAAAUUCGUAUUCACCACCGAGAAACAAUCGCGCUUCAGACACGACCGUAACGGAAGCCGUCGCCUAUACAUCCCGCAAGCUCGAGGGUCUACCCGACACUUGCUGUCGCUCGACAUUGAAGACGCGGAAGUUACGACAAUGUUUCGUAGAAGUUCUGGCAGAAUCCGGGCUUUCUCGGCGGAACAAGGAUGAGCAGACUCCGUCGCGACUACCUGAAACGACCAGUGAAGCACGCGAAUCCAAUCCGAACCGACCAGUGAAACACGCUUUCUCGGCCGUGGAGCAGAAAGAGCCACUCCAAAUCGACCAGUCGAAC